AGUGAACGCUGGCGGUAGGCCUAACACAUGCAAGUCGAACGGCAGCACAGUAAGAGCUUGCUCUUACGGGUGGCGAGUGGCGGACGGGUGAGGAAUACAUCGGAAUCUACUUUUUCGUGGGGGAUAACGUAGGGAAACUUACGCUAAUACCGCAUACGACCUACGGGUGAAAGCAGGGGAUCUUCGGACCUUGCGCGAUUGAAUGAGCCGAUGUCGGAUUAGCUAGUUGGCGGGGUAAAGGCCCACCAAGGCGACGAUCCGUAGCUGGUCUGAGAGGAUGUUCAGCCACACUGGAACUGAGACACGGUCCAGACUCCUACGGGAGGAAGCAGUGGGGAAUAUUGGACAAUGGGGGCAAGCCUGAUCCAGCCAUACCGCGUGGGUGAAGAAGGCCUUCGGGUUGUAAAGCCCUUUUGUUGGGAAAGAAAAGCAGCAGGUUAAUACCCCGCUGUUCUGACGGUACCCAAAGAAUAAGCACCGGCUAACUUCGUG
rnacentral:rRNA from 1 species